rnacentral:rRNA from 2 species
UAGUGAACUGCGGAAGGAUCAUUA